UACGCUUUGUAUGAAGCGCAAACGCGCUUCAUUCUAAAAAUAUGUGCAUGGUCGACGCUUAAUUUACAACCCUAUCAAAUUACUUAUUAUUCAAUACUUAUAAUUACAUUUUUUUUGCUAGGACCAUGAACAAUCGAUUUCAAGUAUUUCUUUUAUUUACUUAUGCACUUUAUAGUGGAAGCACGUGUCAUCAUGAAAGUUACAUUCAUUUUGAAAUAAAGGUUGAUUUCAUAGAUUGAAGUUAGCUAAUCAUAAUAACGAGUUAUAAUGAAAC
rnacentral:lncRNA from 1 species